UCUCGUACUAUCAAAAAUGAAAAAAACAUCCCCGUGACCAUGAAAAUAUGACACAGGUCAAGAAACGAACUUGAACCUUUGCUUUUGGUUUCUUGUCUUAACGAGAAAAGUGAUGAUUGCCCAAAAAACACUGUAGGAAAAGAUUCAGUUUCAUUUCAACUGGAUCCAUGGUGUCACUGAUGAAAACCUACAAUAUGGCCCACGUCACUCAGUCAAAUCCUCCAUUAGUCUUUUAGUUUCAAAAAUCAGGGGAUUUUUCCUGAGGCAGUGGAAGGUGAGAAGGUAAGACUGGUAGCUUUAGACAGGAAAGAUAUCCACCAACAAACACUUAUUAAGCAUCUAUCUCUCAUCUCCUUCAUGAGCUCCUUAACAUGUCACUAUUGCUAAGUGGAGACUAAUUUUAAUGAACAUUUAAAUGCAGAGAAUAAAGCAGCCCUUGGGGAGUAAAGAUUUUUUUCCAUUACUUAUUGGUGCAUUAUAGUUGUACAUAAUGGUGGGAUUUGUUGUUAUAUAUUUGUACAUGCACACAAUAUAAUUUUGCCAAUAUCAUUGGGGUAUAAAAGAUUUAUAAAACGGCAUAGGUAUCACUUUUUCUAAGAAUUAAACUCAAAAAUGAACAUUCAGCUCCCUGAGAGCUGGGAUCAACUUUGUCACCAGGGUUUAACACAGUGUCUGACCCAGCAAAAGUACCCAAGUGGCAUGGACAGAAUAUCACUCACCAUUUCUGAGGCCAGGGAGACUAGCUUCAGGCUUUUAUGUUAGAAAUAACUACUGGUUCCAACCUCAUGAGGCAGCCUGUUUGUAAAUGCAGA
rnacentral:lncRNA from 1 species